rnacentral:tRNA from 1 species
GGGCUUGUGGUUUAGGUCAGUAAUUACUUCUGCAUGUCCAGUUCUUUAGCACCCAAAUUACUAACACCGUUUAAAGUGGUAUAAUACUCCCUUAGCAUGGGAGUGGUCCGGGGUUCGAUUCCCCGCGAGUCCA